rnacentral:lncRNA from 1 species
GGCAAUUGCUUAUAUACUUUUAAAAAUUUUUGACUUUCUGAUUUAUCUCUCUUAAAAGGCUAAUAUUGAAAAUAUUUUUUUUACGUUCCAACAUAUUUCAAAUAUAUUCCUAGAGUUAAAUUCUAUUAAUAAAAUGUUAAAAUAGAUGUUAUCUCUAUAAAAUUACUAUUUUGCUCUUUCAAAUAUAUCCUUCUACCAUCACCGACUUUUCUUAUUUGUCUUUUAAGUUAGAGGUACAAAAAAUAUUUUGAUUUUUUAUUUUUUCAAAUAUACCCUUCUACCAUCACUAAUAUUUCUUAUUUGCCCUUAAGUUAAGGAUAAAAGAGGUAUUUUAUUUUUUUUUUAACUCUAGUAAAUAUUUAACUCACGUUUAACCCAAGUUAACUUAACAUGUGGUAACUGUAAAGAUAUUUUAAAAUAACGGAGAAAUAUAUGAGGGGUAUAUUGGAAAGAAAAAAAAAUAGAGAUAAAUAAAAUAUUUCUGAAAUUUUGAAAGGUAUAUAGAUAUAAUUAUUCAUUUUUUUUAAAAAAAAAUA